GUUGCCGUAAAAAUUGAAGUCUUUAUGCUCUGCUGUUUUAUUAAAAGUAUUGAUUACGUUUUUCACCUCAGGAUGAUCGGGCGCAACGCCGUAACUACGAACAAUGUUUAUAAUAAACAAGAAAUGUAUGGCAAAUCAUCAGCUUCCUUGGAUGAAAAGCACUUGUGAAAAAGUUUAGAAUGAUAUUUGAAUGUUUUACUUAUCAAUCCGUUUCAAGGUAUAAUGUGUAUAUGUACAAAUAUAUUUAUCUACAAACACUAA